rnacentral:rRNA from 1 species
CCCGCUGAACUUAAGCAUAUCAAUAAGCGGAGGAAAAGAAACCAACAGGGAUUGCCUUAGUAACGGCGAGUGAAGCGGCAAUAGCUCAAAUUUGAAAUCUGGCGUCUUUGGACGUCCGAGUUGUAAUUUGUAGAGGAUGUUUCGGUAUUAGCUCCAGUCUAAGUCUCUUGGAACAGAGCGUCGCAGAGGGUGAGAAUCCCGUACGCGACUGGCUGCUUUUGCCAUGUGAAACUCCUUCGACGGGUCGAGUUGUUUGGGAAUGCAGCUCUAAUUGGGAGGUAAAUUUCUUCUAAAGCUAAAUACUGGCCAGAGACCGAUAGCGCACAAGUAGAGUGAUCGAAAGAUGAAAAGCACUUUGGAAAGAGAGUUAAAAAGUACGUGAAAUUGUUGAAAGGGAAGCGCUUGCAAUCAGACCUGCUUGCAGUUGUUCAUCUAGACUUUUGUCUAGUGCACUCUUCUGUAAGUCAGGCCAGUAUCGGUUUGGGCGGUUGGAUAAAGAUUUCAGGAAUGUAGCUCUUUUCGGGGAGUGUUAUAGCCUGUUUUGUAAUGCAACCAGCCCAGAUCGAGGACCGCGCUUCGGCUAGGAUACUGGCGUAAUGGUUGUAAGCGGCCCGUCUUGAAACACGG